rnacentral:rRNA from 1 species
GACGAACGCUGGCGGCGUGCUUAACACAUGCAAGUCGAACGGUGAAGCGCCUUCCUUUUUGGUGGGUGUGGAUGAGUGGCGAACGGGUGAGUAACACGUGAGUAACCUGCCCCCUUCUUCUGGAUAACCGCAUGAAAGUGUGGCUAAUACGGGAUAUUCUGGGUCUGUCGCAUGAUGGGUCUGGGAAAGAUAUUGUUUCGGUGGGGGAUGGGCUCGCGGCCUAUCAGCUUGUUGGUGGGGUGAUGGCCUACCAUGGCGGUGACGGGUAGCCGGCCUGAGAGGGUGGACGGUCACACUGGGACUGAGACACGGCCCAGACUCCUACGGGAGGCAGCAGUGGGGAAUAUUGCACAAUGGGCGCAAGCCUGAUGCAGCGACGCCGCGUGAGGGAUGGAGGCCUUCGGGUUGUGAACCUCUUUCGCCAGUGAAGCAGGCCUGCCUCGUUUGUGGGUGGGUUGACGGUAGCUGGAGAAGAAGCGCCGGCUAACUACGUG